GGGGAAUAUUGCGCAAUGGGGGCAACCCUGACGCAGCCAUGCCGCGUGAAUGAAGAAGGCCUUCGGGUUGUAAAGUUCUUUCGGUAGCGAGGAAGGCAUUUAGUUUAAUAGACUAGGUGAUUGACGUUAACUACAGAAGAAGCACCGGCUAACUCCGUGCCAGCAGCCGCGGUAAUACGGAGGGUGCGAGCGUUAAUCGGAAUAACUGGGCGUAAAGGGCACGCAGGCGGUGACUUAAGUGAGGUGUGAAAGCCCCGGGCUUAACCUGGGAAUUGCAUUUCAUACUGGGUCGCUAGAGUACUUUAGAGAGGGGUAGAAUUCCACGUGUAGCGGUGAAAUGCGUAGAGAUGUGGAGGAAUACCGAAGGCGAAGGCAGCCCCUUGGGAAUGUACUGACGCUCAUGUGCGAAAGCGUGGGGAGCAAACAGGAUUAGAUACCCUGGUAGUCCACGCUGUAAACGAUGUCGAUUUGGGGGUUGAACUUUAAGUUUGGCGCCCGUAGCUAACGUGAUAAAUCGACCGCCUGGGGAGUACGGCCGCAAGGUUA
rnacentral:rRNA from 1 species